UACGUAGGCAGCGAGCGUUGUUCGGAGUUACUGGGCGUAAAGCGUGCGUAGGCGGUUUUGUAAGUUUGGGGUGAAAUCUCCCGGCUCAACUGGGAGGGUGCGCCGAAAACUGCAAGGCUGGAGUGUGGGAGAGGUAGGCGGAAUUCCUGGUGUAGCGGUGAAAUGCGCAGAUAUCAGGAGGAACACCGGUGGCGAAGGCGGUUCUCUGGGCCUUACCUGACGCUGAGGAGCGAAAGCGUGGGGAGCAAACAGG
rnacentral:rRNA from 1 species